CUUUCCUCGGCGCCUUUCCUUACCCACGAAGCUUCUCUCCCAAAAAAUCUUCCCCUCUCCUCCCUCCCUUCCCCGGGUGGGCUAGAGUUGCCGCCGUCGCUGCCCCAUCGCCGCAUCCCAGCUCCUCCGCCGCCGGCCACCAGAGAAGGCGCCUCCUGAGAUCCGCUUCCCCCAAACCUUCUCGUCUUCGCGUUCCGCAAGACCUCCAGGAUGGUUGUAGCGAGGUGCCGGCGGAGACCGACGGUGACGGCUACGACAAGGGGAGGAGAUGAAUCCGAAGCAGCUCGAGGGCCUCCUGGGGGCCUGACCAAGUUCUCCGCCGCCUCCCCCGCUUUAUCCUUCUCCUCUCUCAUUCUCUCCCCAUGCCCGUGGCGGCUGCGAGGAGGUAUACGAUGGGGUUCCGCGACCAGAUGAGGGCAAGGGCGUCGAUCUCCCUCCUCCUGCUCCCAAUCGCCGUCGCGGCCACCAUCUGCUAGAUCUUCACCGCCUUAGCGCCGUGGUCCAGCUGAUGGUGCUGCGGUUCUGCUCGGGCGCCAUCACCUGAAGGUCGCUGUUGCCGACGACGAGGACAGAUGGGAGGACGCCGCCGCAACGGAUCUGCUCCCCAUUUCCCUCCACCGUCGGUGGCCAUGUGCGGGUGUCUCCCAGGAUCCAGGUGUGGUCUCGCCGCCAUCGAUGCCAGAGGAGGAAGAGGUGCUCUUCCAUGUCGACUAGAGGAGAAAGAGGAGGAGGAGGAGGCGCUUCUCCGACCAGACCCAGGGUCGGGGCCGGCACGCCACGGGCAUCUACGCCUGCGACCACGACCACACGCACGGGCUGACGCCGCUGAUGAAGAUGCGUACCCUUAGCCACGAGUUUGUCCCUGAUCCCAUCCAUGCAGGUGGGCUUCGCUGCCAUUGAAUGACACCUCUGAUCUCCCAUGUAGAUGAGCUCGGGUUUAUGGAAGCCAUGUCCAUAAAGCAAACUGAGUGCUUCGAAGUUUUGUAGAAAAGGAAUUGGAAGCUCGGAGAGACCUCACGUGAAUCAACAGGUUUGACUCCUUUUAGUCUUUGGUUAUUUCCAAAGCGGAAACCCAUGAAAUGUCGGGAUCAAAAUCCCAGGUCAGAUGGAAGUGUGGGCAUUCAUGAUUACUGUACAAGUAACUGAUUUUGUGGAACAUGCUUCUUACUUUCUUGUCUGAAUGCUUAAUAGUAUAUUACCCUUGCAAUGUGAUGGAACCAGUAGACUUUAUACCCUUGACCCUUGCAAUGUCUGAAGCAAAACAAAAUUUGGAUCACAUUUUAGAUCUUUUGUUGAAAACAAAGUUUCUAUCAGGCUUUAGAUCUGUUAUUUCCUUGUUCUAAUCAGCAUAAACUGAAUUAUUUUAUCUGAUUGCAAAUUAUCAUCAAACUGUGGUGUUUCAUCGAGGACGAUCUUUAUCAACAAUGAGGAGGAUUUGCAGAAGAUGAGAUUUCAAAUGGCUUGAAUAAGAAGAGAUGCAGAUCAGUAUUCUGGACAGGUUCUUGAUCCUAACCAGUCCACGGUGCCGUAGCCGUCGUCCUGAUUCCUUGGACGCCGCCGACGCAAGCGACAAGAGAAGGUGAGAUCGAAUCCAUAUGUUCUUUCUUUUUCCCCGUCCGUCCCGUGGAUUUUUCCUGUAUUUUGGUGAGCUCCUGAACCACCUGAUUUGUUCUUUCAUGCAAGCACACCUCUAGCUCGGCUUGUGGCGGCGGCGGGUAUUGCUGGAGUGGAGGCGCCUUUCGUUUUUCGUCCUCUUGUUCGUGCGAAGGCGCAGAAGGUCGGAUGAGGAAGUAUGAGAACAGCAAAAGAGGAGAUGGGAAAGGGUGGCGUGUUGUGGGACAACCCGGCGCUGGUGGACGCCUUAGACCACCCCGUCACCACCUACAAGCUAUGCGCCCUGGUCCCCUUUUGAUCCUCUUGCCCUUUCCUCCUUGCUGGUGGCGUGUCAGGUCCUACGCAAUUUACAACUGUGGAUCUCGCGAAUUGUAAGAGGAAAUCAUGGCAAUUGCUGGAUCUGGAGUAUAUGAUCUGUAGGAGGAGCAGUGUUCGUAUA